ACUAUUUUGUCAUGCGAUAUGAACUACUAAGUUGAAGAUCAAGGUGGAAUUCGCUGAUAUUAUUCUGGUGAUAUAUUAUAUUCGGAAGGAUAUCCUUAUUUAAACCAGAGGUUAUGGCUGAAAUGCCCCAGCUUUUGAAUGGUUAUCACGACAACCACCACCGUUGCCAGCUUUUCAUAAAU